UACGUAGGGACCAAGCGUUGUUCGGAUUUACUGGGCGUAAAGGGCGCGUAGGCGGCAAUUCAAGUCAGCUGUGAAAUCUCCGGGCUUAACUCGGAACGGUCAGCUGAUACUGUUUUGCUAGAGUGCAGAAGGGGCAAUCGGAAUUCUCGGUGUAGCGGUGAAAUGCGCAGAUAUCGGGAAGAACACCCGUGGCGAAGGCGGCUCUCUGGACCGAGACUGACGCUGAGGCGCGAAAGCGUGGGGAGCAAACAGG
rnacentral:rRNA from 1 species